CUAGUUUCUAAGGAUCAUGUCUGCGAGCCAGGAUUCCCGAUCCAGAGACAAUGGCCCCGAUGGGAUGGAGCCCGAAGGCGUUAUCGAGGUGAGACUGGAGAAAUGGAAUUCUGUCUUCCCCCAUUACAACUUUCAGCCUUACAGUUCUAUAGAGUUAGAGUGGCCUCUUGAUUGAUUUCCCAGACCAUCUAGAAGCAGCUGGUUUCCCUAAAGGGAGGAGGGGUUGUGUAAGCUCUGAGGCUUUGGUUAGUACGCAGUAGAUUCUGUUUGCUCUGAGACUACAGCUCAGCUCCACCUUUUCCAUGAUUCAAGCUUUAAUUUCUUUGCAUCCCUUAGAGUAACUGGAAUGAGAUUGUUGACAGCUUUGAUGACAUGAACCUCUCGGAGUCCCUUCUCCGUGGCAUCUACGCCUAUGGUUUUGAGAAGCCCUCUGCCAUCCAGCAGCGAGCCAUUCUACCUUGUAUCAAGGGUGAGACCUCUCAGUCCCAGAAGACAUUGUGGACUGUCCCUGACCUGGGUAGAGUGGCAUCUGGUUGGUGAUGCCCAUCUCAUAUCAGCCAGGGACAAAGCAAC
rnacentral:sRNA from 1 species